rnacentral:tRNA from 1 species
GGCCCUUUAGCUCAGUGGUUAGAGCAGGCGACUCAUAACGCCUGGUCGCUGGCAAGUCCAGCAAGGGCCACCA